rnacentral:rRNA from 1 species
UACGUAGGGGGCAAGCGUUGUCCGGAUUUAUUGGGCGUAAAGAGCGUGUAGGCGGUUUGGUAGGUCCGCUGUGAAAACUCGAGGCUCAACCUCGAGACGCCGGUGGAAACCAUCAGACUAGAGUCCGGAAGAGGAGAGUGGAAUUCCUGGUGUAGCGGUGAAAUGCGCAGAUAUCAGGAAGAACACCGGUGGCGAAGGCGGUUCUCUGGGCAUGUUCUGACGCUGAGGAGCGAAAGUGUGGGGAGCGAACAGG